UACGUUUUUGUUAAACCGUAACUGAAUAAGGUUAAAAAAUGCAAAGGAGAUCACAGGAAUGUUACACACGCAAAAAUCUCGCAUCUUGUAGCAAGUCUGCAGACAAGCCGUCAACAAGUUGUGUUCGCACUGCUUGUCCCAAGUUGUCAACAAAUUUGAAACAAGCUGUUAACAACUUGUAACAACCUUGUUGAUAUUAUCAGACUUGUUGCAGGGUUGUUCCAACGAGUCCGAUACAGUCGUGAUAUAACAAUAUUGUUACAAUCUUGUAUCGUCAACC